rnacentral:pre_miRNA from 3 species
UCUUCUGGAUGAGUAAAGAAAGUGGUUGCUUGAGAUGGAAUCUACUUCUGGUGAAUAUGCAGUGAA